rnacentral:sRNA from 2 species
CGCCGAGUCGUGGGCCACACCCCUGCAUGAUCGUGGUCGGCGAGCCGGGGAACCAACCUUCCCCCUGGGGUGAAUCCCCUGCGAGGCGCAUCGCGUGAGCGGUGCGUGGAGCAGGGGUAGGACAGUCGUGCCGAACCCGUCAGCUCACCCGGUAGGCGUA